rnacentral:rRNA from 1 species
CCUACGGGUGGCAGCAGUGGGGAAUAUUGCGCAAUGGGCGAAAGCCUGACGCAGCGACGCCGCGUGAGGGAAGAAGGCUUUCGGGUUGUAAACUUCUUUUGUCAGGGAAGAGUAGAAGACGGUACCUGACGAAUAAGCCACGGCUAACUACGUGCCAGCAGCCGCGGUAAUACGUAGGUGGCAAGCGUUGUCCGGAUUUACUGGGUGUAAAGGGCGUGUAGCCGGGUUGACAAGUCAGAUGUGAAAUCCUGCGGCUUAACCGCAGAACUGCAUUUGAAACUGUUGAUCUUGAGUACUGGAGAGGCAGACGGAAUUCCUAGUGUAGCGGUGAAAUGCGUAGAUAUUAGGAGGAACACCAGUGGCGAAGGCGGUCUGCUGGACAGCAACUGACGGUGAGGCGCGAAAGCGUGGGGAGCAAACAGGAUUAGAUACCCUAGUAGUC